CCUACGGGGGGCUGCAGUGGGGAAUAUUGGACAAUGAGGGCAACCCUGAUCCAGCCAUGCCGCGUGUGUGAAGAAGGCCCUCGGGUUGUAAAGCACUUUCAGUGAGGAAGAACGCCUGGUGGUUAAUACCCAUCAGGAAAGACAUCACUCACAGAAGAAGCACCAGCUAACUCCGUGCCAGCAGCCGCGGUAAUACGGAGGGUGCGAGCGUUAAUCGGAAUUACUGGGCGUAAAGCGCGCGUAGGUGGCUUGAUAAGCCGGUUGUGAAAGCCCCGGGCUCAACCUGGGAACGGCAUCCGGAACUGUCAAGCUAGAGUGCAGGAGAGGAAGGUAGAAUUCCCGGUGUAGCGGUGAAAUGCGUAGAGAUCGGGAGGAAUACCAGUGGCGAAGGCGGCCUUCUGGACUGACACUGACACUGAGGUGCGAAAGCGUGGGUAGCAAACAGGAUUAGAUACCCCUGUAGUC
rnacentral:rRNA from 1 species